GAGAGAGAAGAGGAUUGUAGAAGGAAGGGGGAUCAAGAUCAUGAUGGGAACCUCACAGAGACAGAUGACCCAAACUUGUGGGAGUACAUGGACACUAGUCCAACAGCUGGGGAACCUGCAUGGGACCAACAAGAUCUUUGCAUGUGGGCAACAGUUUGUAGCCUGGUCUGUUUGUGGGACUCCUGGCAGUGGGGCCAGGAUCUAUGCCUGGUACAUGAGAUGGCUUUUUGAAACCUAUUCCAUAUGGUGGGAUGUCUUGCUCAGCCUUGAUGGAGGAGCAUCAUGAGAGUACUGCAUCCGAAUCACUCUAGCUCUUCCUUCUCCAUCCUGGCUCCAAAUCACAUUUGCAUAUAGGACAUGAAAGUGAAAAAGGACUUUGUCUUUGGGAAAAAGGGGAGCUAAAAAGAGAUCUGAGAAAAAAGAUGAGGUCAUGGAGCAUGAGGGAUGUGUUCAACAUGCACAGUUGGAUGAAUUUCUUGUAAAGAGAAAUUUAAAGUUUUAAAGGGAGAAAAGCCAGGAAGAGCCUCAUUUUACUUUCAGAUUUAAGAGAUUUUCAUGCAAAAGUAGCAUUCUAACUACUGAAAUACUGGAAAAUGAUAUUUUACACAAUACCAAAUUCAUGCCAUUUAGAUAAUUUGUGGUCUGUGCCAUUUUCAGGAUACUAUGAGUAUUUUUUCAAAUGUAUUAAUUUUACAUAUUUUAAAGAUGCAUGUCAAAACAUUUUUUAUAGAAUAUCAGCAGAAUAAAUCAGAUGUUUGGUUUGGUUUAAAGUGCAAAAUGUUUUUCACAAAAUAGUAGUUAAGAAUAAAACUGAUUGAAUGAAAUAAUAAAAUAACUUGUGUUGAUUUGGUUUACAUAA